UUAACCAGCAAGAAUUCAGAGGUAACUACACAAAUUAACUACGUGGAUUCAGCGUAGGACAGUGUAACCACACUCAUCUGAGCUUAGUAAACCAAGCACGGAGCCCUGAAGCAAAACAAAGGGAGGUAACGGCUCAAGCAGGUAUAUAAGCACGCAGGUGUCUGGGUGAUGAGCACCACAAAUGGAGUCCUCUCCUGCACCGUGACAGCCCAAGAUGUGGGGAAUGCGCUCAAGGUGCUGCCACACAUCUGGCUACCUGGAAAUGAGUUCCUGACCUUAUUUAUACCUCUCCUCCUGCAGCGUAUGCUCAGGCAAAGACGGGGAUGGGGUGGAUGAUAGGCUGAACUUACCAUGGAGUAAAAUUCCUGAGUACUGAGGAAGAGCGAUGGAAGCUUGGACUCACCGAUCCCCCAGCCUAAUGAACGUAGUCAUCGUCCCGGUUGUAAGAAAGGUGGUGGGAAGCUUUGGAAACUGAAGAUGAUCUGACAAGGACAGGGUGGUAGCGUGCAGAAGGAGGAUAGCAAUGUUGUGUGUCACUACCAGGCAGCCGAGAACGAAGCGAUGAGGCUCCGCUACUGCUCCCUGGGCAGCAGGGGUGGCUUUUGGCCCUGGCUCGGUGCUGCCUGGCUGCUGGUGGCAGAGCUGUCAGCAGUGGGCCGAGACGGGCGGAAAGAGGAACGCUACACAAGAGCCGGCAAAGGCUUCUCAUGGUCCUUGGAAGGCAAACGGGAUAUGUCGGGGAGCAGAGCGUGUCCCUGAAGCCCUGUGCUCCCCAUCAGCCAGACACCGCCAUGCAGCUGGGUGGGUUUGGGAAGGUUUGGCAGCCAGCACAGCCUCCUUCCUGGGGCCAAAACAGAAACCACACUGAAGAGCUUAU